AGCAGCGACCAGGACCCGACACCCCUCGCCUCCUCUUGGUCCGCGCGUCCCGGGAACGAGGAUGCUGCGCCGGUCCCCUCACACCACUACCCUAACCGGGUCUCCGCGCUCGGAGUCCGGGCCUCGCACAGGAUCUACGUCCAGAAGGGGAUAGAGGGAGGGGCCGAUCCAGUAAGCCCGGCCGCUGCCUGCGCGCCCUGAGGCGGAGCCGAGCCGAGUCCAGCCGAGCGGGGCCGAGCCGGGAAGAUCCGAGCCAAACGGGGCGGAGGCGAGAGAAGCCGAGCGGAGCGGAGCCCGGUGGAGCCCUGCCAAGAUCCAUAGAUAGAGGCAAGGUGGAAGUCGGUUAUGGUUCACGAGCUCCUCCCUGCUAGACGGCAUCCUCCUCAGGGGGCUCUUGGGGAAGUCUCUUGUACUGGGACUCUC
ensembl:antisense Gm42884 predicted gene 42884